AAACGGACGUCUAAUACUGGAUACGAGACGUGAUCGCAUGGUCAACGUUUGGUAAAGGAUUUUUGGUUUUGGGGGAUGGGCUCGCGGCCUAUCAGCUUGUUGGUGAGGUAAUGGCUUCACCAAGGCGUCGACGGGUAGCCGGCCUGAGAGGGUGACCGGCCACACUGGGACUGAGACACGGCCCAGACUCCUACGGGAGGCAGCAGUGGGGAAUAUUGCACAAUGGGCGGAAGCCUGAUGCAGCAACGCCGCGUGAGGGAUGACGGCCUUCGGGUUGUAAACCUCUUUUAGCAGGGAAGAAGCGAGAGUGACGGUACCUGCAGAAAAAGCGCCGGCUAACUACGUGC
rnacentral:rRNA from 1 species